GGUUCUUUUAGGCAUCUGCAACCGGGAAGCUUCCUUCCUUCCUACAGUAUGUCUUUACUUAAGUGAAAUGUUUAUAGGUUUCGAAACGGCAAACUCGGGAUUUCCGAGUUAUGCCAUAAGACUUUUAUCAGUCUCGAUGAUGAUAAACCCGUAGUUUCGGGUAUAUGUGAUUUGUUAUCUAUAGAACCUAUGUGUUGAGUGCCUUUGUGUAGUCUUUAUCUCUUUCAACGCUAAAUGCAACUGUUUGUGAGGGUUAGACGACACAUUUAGUUCGUUUUCAAGUUUUUUUUUUUUAAUUUUCUUUGAAUAUUGACCCUUGUUUAUUGUUUCGGAGUGUUAAAGAGGGCAUGCUUUUAUGUCUUUCAAGUCACUGAUUCUUUUUGCCAUUAUUUAUGACACUGGAUUUGAUUGCAAAUUUAUUUGUACAAUAUUUUUUGCUGGUUGAUAUUUUUUGCUUGAUUCAGACUUCUUUAUGUUUUGUUUUGGUCAUUUAGCUUCAAAAUGUUAAAAAACAUCAUUAAAUUAUUUAAAAAAAUUCAUUUAAGUUAUAAAAUGGUUGUUAAAAUUGUUCUAUGAUAUUUUCUGUUUACAUUGUUUGUACCAAUUAAAAAUAAAUUUUUUUUAGUUCAAUUCUUUUUAUAAAAUAUUUUCAGAUGUCACGGAUUUAUAAAUUUAAUAGAUUUAUAAAAUAUCUUAGCAAUAAAUUUGUGAAUCAGAUUUUAAAUAAGAUUUUAAAAAAAAUAUCUUAAUGUGUUAAAUAAAAUGUUUUUGAAUAAUUUAAUAAUUUAAAUGAAUUUCGUUUAAUCUAAGUAAUGGAUUUGGAUGCCAACUUUGAAUGUUAGUAAUGAUGUUUUAUCAUGUUCUCAACAAAUGGGCUUCGCUUGCUUUGCCGGCUAGGCUCAUCAAUAUCCCCAACAUACUCUUCACGUUAUAACAUUCAAAAUGUAUCAAAUUAAAUAUAUAGGAUAUUAAAAUUAAAAAGAAAUUAUUUAUGAGUUGAUCUCGAAUUAAUUUGUAACAUCAAUUUAACGUAAAAAUUGAUUAAAUUAUUUAUGAAUUUCGCAAUUAAGUCAACUUUAGUACUUAAGCUUGAAAAUUAAAUCUAUUUUAAUCUAUAAAUUUUUAAAAAAUAUAAAAAUUCGGUGAUGUGUAUUUUAAUAGUGUGCCACGUCAUUAGAUCUAUUUUUUUAAAUGAUGAUAUAAUACGAUGCUAAAUUACCAUAUCAAAUCAUCGAACUUUUACAUUUUUUCAAAUUUUAGUCCGAAAUAGAAUUUUUAUCAAGUUCACGGGUCAAAAACUAUAUUAACCCUUUAAAAAAAUAAAAAAUUAGAUUGUAAAAUUCAGCCGAGUCAAACGAAGCCGCCAACGAGUGAAGUUGUCUAUUAGCCGAGUCCAUAAAAUACAGCGCGGCUUAAUCAUGACCACAACACAAAAACCCGUGCCCUUUAGAACCGAACACGACGUGGCAACACAAGAUUAGGCGAAGAAAUGUUUCGUACGAUAACCUAAUGUUCAAAUACAAACACCCUAUUAAUUCUCAACUCAACUGGGGCAAGUUUUCACCGAAAUAAAAGGACCUUUGCCCCUCCCCACCGUUUUUCAACCCUCGUCAUCGAAGAGCUUUCCUUUUUCUCUCUCUAUAUUUUCUCAUCUCCUUUUCCACCGCCGUCGAUCUCGAUCCGUAUCCCCGUUUUCAAAAAAGCUCCAAAAAGAUGGUAAUGUUUCAGCUGCCUUUUUUUUUUAAAAAAAGUUUAAAAUUAAUAGUUUAUCCUUGAAUUAGAUCGUAUUUCUGAUAUUUUUGUGUAAUUUCUUAGCAAUCCGACUGGAUUGUCUUUUUCUUUUGUUGAUUUUUUAAGUUUUAAAUUAAUAGUUUAAGCUUGAAUUUAAUCUUAUUUCUGAUUUUUAGUGUAAUUUCUUAGCAAUCCGAUUGGAUCUUUUUUUUUGUUUAUUCUUGAAUUUAGUCGAUUUUCUGAUUAUUUUUGUGUGAUUUCUUAGUAAUCCGACUGGAUCCUUACUUUUAAGUUUAAAAUUAAUAGUUUAUCCUUUAAUUGAAUCGUAGUUCUGGUAUUUUUGUGUAAUUUCUUAGCAAUUCGACUGGAUCGUCUUUUUUCUUGUUCAUAUUUUUGUGUAGUUUUAAAUUAAUAGUUUAUCCUAGAAUUAAAUCAUAUAUCUCUGGUAUUUUUGUGCAACUUCUUAGCAAUUCGACUGGAUCGUCUCUUUUCCUGUUGAUUUUUUUUUGUAGUUUUAAAUUAAUAGUUUAUCCUAGAAUUAAAUCAUAUCUCUGGUAUUUUUGUGUAAUUUCUUAGUAAUCCAACUAGAUCCUCUCUUUUUUUUGUUGAUUUUUCUUUUUUAAUUUUGUGUUUGAUCGGUUAAUUCAUCUCUGCAUUGAUGCUUGAAAAUCCCCGGAAAUUUUUGAGUGUCUGGAUCUUAGGAUUUUAAAUCUGUAGUUAAUGAUUUGAUUUGAUUUCGAUGAAAUUAGAUGUACUAAUUUGUGCUGAAAAUGGAAUCAUUACUGGUCUAGCUUCUUGUCUCUUUAGCUGGUUGAUUUUACUGAAUUUGCUGUUAAUCUAAAUACGUAUCGGUUUCUACUUUAUGAAUACUCUAUUUUUAACUGUUUUUCUUUGACACUGACUUUUUAUUUUACUUGUUUAAUAUAUUAAUCUAAUUUGUCUGCGCUUGUAAUUUGGAUCCUUGUAUUUUUGUUGUUAUUAUUAUUUUCUUAUUUUUACUGAAACCAAAGAAAAUCUUAUUUUAUAUAUCCAAACAUAAUAUUAUGGUUUUAUGAUCAUAAACAAUAAACACGCCCCAUUGUGAAGCUCAACUAGCUGAUUUAGGAUGUUCUAAAGGCAAUGUAAGAUGAGCUCUGCUUCAUCCUAAAGAUAUUGACACAUGAUGUUAUACCAGCAUAGGGGGCCAUUGCAAGAGAUCAAGUUAGAGUGUAAAGGGUAUUUAAGUGUAGCUUUUGUUUUCUUUCUUUAUUGUUCAUUUUUUUAGGAUCAAAUCAUGGAUAUAUAGAUUAUUGGAAUGGUUGAUUUUUUUUCUUCAUUUAUCGUUCCUUUGUGUUCUAUUGAUGUUAUUAAACAUUGGGACUGCUUUUGAUAUUUGUUUUCUCAUGUGGUAUUAUUUUAUAUCCUAGGCCAAUGCUGCAUCGGGAAUGGCUGUGCAUGAUGAUUGCAAGUUGAAGUUCCAAGAACUUAAGGCAAAAAGAACCCACCGCUUUAUUGUUUUCAAAAUCGAGGAGAAGCAGAAGCAAGUUAUCGUGGAGAAGCUUGGUGAGCCAACUGAGAGCUAUGAAGAUUUUACUAAAUGUCUUCCCGCUGAUGAAUGUCGUUAUGCUGUGUACGAUUUUGAUUUUCUAACAGCCGAGAACGUCCCAAAGAGCAGAAUCUUUUUCAUCGCAUGGUACUGCAAUGUUUCUUAAUCGUGGGGUUCCAUUGUUUCCUUUUAUUACUUACUAUAUAUUGUUGUUGUCCUAUGAAGGUCUCCCGAUACAUCAAGGAUCAGGAGCAAAAUGAUAUAUGCUAGCUCCAAAGACAGAUUCAAGCGAGAACUGGAUGGAAUCCAAGUGGAAUUGCAAGCAACAGAUCCAACCGAGAUGGGUCUUGAUGUCUUCAAAAGCCGUGCUAACUGAAUACAGUUCUUUUAGGCUUUUGCAACAGGGAAGCUUCCUUCCUUCCUUCCUACAGUAUGUCUUUUACUUAUGUGAAAUGUUUAUAGGUUUCGAAAUGGCAAAACUUGGACAAUUACCGAUUU
rnacentral:lncRNA from 1 species